rnacentral:tRNA from 1 species
GGGGCUGUAGCUCAGUGGCAGAGCUCUUGUCUUACACAUGGGAGGCCCUGGGUUCAAUCCUCAGCACCACA